rnacentral:sRNA from 1 species
UCAGUCAUAGAGGGGAUGGGAGAAAGACGACAAGAGGUGAUUGGUCAGAGGCUAUGGGCUGGGUAGAGUGAGGGAGAACCUGCCAGGAUCUUACUGAUUUCUGUGUCUGGUAACCUAACACAUAGGAGAGUCUUGCAGACUGCCAUGCUCCAGGGUUGAGAACAGAGCUCUGUUUGGGAAUCUGGAGCUUGGCAUCUGGGGGCGCAUAUGGCUUAUGCGGGGUCUUCCUUGUGGCAUCCUAUACCACUUCACAGUGAUGGCUAAGGUCUUCACUUAGGGUGUCCAGUUGCUACUGGCCACACGUGGCUACUGCCUGGUGGGUCGGAGGAGCUGAAGUUUAUCCACUUUAGUGAAUUAGAUUUGAGUCUUUACAUGUGGUGGAAGCUUCCCCAUUGGAUAAAACCGCAUUAGAAGAACUUGGGAGUGCAUUGGCGGAUGGGUCCCUAUUGAUAAGAAAGAAAGAAAACGCAGAAUAGGAAACAGGGGGUACCAAUUAGCUGGGACAUCAGAAGGAAAGUAGCAUAGGAUAGAGAGACCAGGUAUUCCAUGUGAAGCCUUAUCUAGACCCACAGCAUUGGCAGCCACACAGAGGAGGGCCAUAGCAUUGUUCUAUCUCAAAGGCCACUGCACACCUCUAAAGGAAAGCUUCUGCAACGGCAGGGCAGGGAAUACGUAUUGGAGUCUUACAUGUCCUGACUCAAGCCUUCUUAUUGUUUCCUUUUGUGAAAGUAGACUCCGUGGUGGCAUUGUUGAGUUGGGCCGCACGCAGGCUACAUUUCCAGUGCCCAGUAGUUACAGUGCCCAGGAGCAACUGAACAGCCUAGGUUGGAAUUUGGGCUGAGAACAUGACUAGCUCCAGAGACAAAUUAGCCCAUCCAGACAGGUUUGGUGGAUUUAAAUACACGGUUGUUAGAAAAUGCUGGUAACCAAAAUCUCCAGGUGUCUAGACAGCUGUUGGUUGGCAGUGAAGCCAAGGAAGGGAAAGAAGGAAGAAUACUGGAGGUUGGGGAGCAGCCAGUGGCGAGAAGAAAAGGAGGAAAGAGGGAGGGGACAGUGCAGGAGCAUUCAGGGAGCACAAGCAGAAAAUAAGGAGAGAAGACAGAGCCCCAGAGCGAGACCAUGAGACCACGCCAGGAAGUUGUCAGUGGGAGGGCUAGCAGGCAGCGGCAACCCUAGAAUUAUGCCAGUGGGUGGCUACACAGCGAAGGUAAAACAAAAAUCAAAAUUAUCUACCUUGCUGUUGGCAGAGCUGUGGGAUUCUCCUCUGCACUGCAGCCUUUUGCAGCUGUGCACACAGGUGUCCCCUCCCCACCAGAGAAAGCUCAGGACAAACUAUUCAAAGACUAAGUCUAUCUAUCUGCCAGUCAUAGUGAGCACUACUGAGGCCUGGAGUCUAACACAGAGACCAUGGGCCAGAGGUCAGGCAGGAUAGAGUGGUCUGAGCACAAAGAUGGAUGUGGGUGUUUUUUCAUGGUGUUUUCUAAUUGCAGAUGUGCCGCACAGCUGGACAUUGGAUUAACAGUUAAGAAGAGAAGUGGUCACCCUUCAAGUGGAUGCAAGCUGAGAAUGGAGUGCCUGUGCUUUUUAACCAAGCCAAAGUCCCAGGGCUCACCAGAAAGCACCUGACUUUCAUGGAUACUUGUUGGACAAACCUGAAAUUGCUGGGAUGAAUUCAAGAGGCCUCCAAAGCAGGAGAGAAAGGUCAGAAAUGCAUCUGGGAGUCGCCACAGAUUUCUUGGGCUGCUGGAGCAAACCACUGGCCACAAGAGUGUCUGCCUCUAAGUCUUGGAAGUUAAUUUACCAGCUCCUCGGCAAGGACUCCAUUACCUUCAGCCAUUAGGCUAAUGUUAUGGACUUUUGCAGAGUGUCUGAACUGACAUUGCUAUUAAUAGUGUUAUUACGCCCAUUAGCAGCAGACCCAGAGAACUGGUAUGGCUUCAAUUAUUCACUGACUCACCAACUUUGAAGUUCUUGUUUUCAAGACGAAUCAGUAGGUCUGAAAAAAUAUCUUUGAUUAAAUUAUAAAGAGUGUGUGUGUAUUGAGGUGGGGGAUAAAGCUGCUUCCUGGCCAAACAUCACCAGAAGUCACUUAAUAGAAUAGAUGGGCUUCAUCUCUCUCCCAGGUUGGGGGAAGUGACACUGGUAGUUAAACAGGGACAAGUCUGACCUGUGUUGUUUGCUGCUACCCAGAUUCCCAGGGCUGCAUCUUGCUCCAGUUCUAGAAAGUACUGUAUACACAAAACCAUGCAUAAUUUAUAGCUUCAAGCAUCAGGGCUAAAUGCUUAACCUCUUGACGCCUUAGUCUUUUCUUCUAGAAAAUGGGAGCAAAAUAGUAGCAAACAGCUAGGGGUUCCUGAAGAUGUCAUAAGGUAAGAGUGCAGUAAGCAGUUAUAAGAAGAGAUGUCAACAAGUGUGAGCUGGUAUUGUUAGCCCAUCACUUCCCUAAGUCCUCGUUCCAUGGCUCCAAACUACAGCUGAUACAGAACGUUUCAUCAUUUCAUUGUGCACAUCAAAGGGAGAAGGGAAGGCUGAGGCAGUGUUCCUUACAAUGAAGGUGGAGGGAGAGGCUCAGAGGCCAGGAAGACCAGGAGAGAGAAAGCAUGCUAUGGGUUGUUUUCUUAAUAGCUGUCAAAGCAUAUUGAGAACUCAGCUCUCUCUCAGUGGAAAGUUAAGCUUAAGGUCAGAACCAGGGGUGUUUUGACAUUUCUACCAUCCUGCAUGGUUCACGAGGGUGGAGGCUACAAAUGUCUAAAAGCACAGACAACUGACCUUAAAUGUGAUGGGAUAAUGGCAGGGAAGGUCCCAGGCUUCUGAUGUCUUGUGGGGUUCGUCAAGGUAAUAGCCCUUGGCUCUUUGAGGACUGUGGUUUUCUAGUGACUCAGACCAGAGUUAAAAUGUGAAAGGGCUUCAUUUCUGUUCUUACAGGAGUUCCUGAGUCAGUUCCCACCAAGGGCUCCAGUAUGUGGGAAGGCAGUACUCUCCAUUCUUUAGGAGAGGCAUCAAGGUCUCGCUUCAUCUGUUUUCCAUGUAGAGGAAGUUGUGCUUAUGCAGACUCACAAAAUACAUGCUUUGCAACUGA